ensembl:lncRNA
CAAAUGUAAUGGCAUGUCGUUGACCCUGGUGCUCAGCAACACAUAUUUCAAAUCCCUGAAGAUUAAUAGGGAAGAUGCUUACAGCUCUCACAACAGCUGCUGGAAAGUGUUCCUAUCUCAGGUUUUAAUUACACGUAUUUAUACAGUAAAAAAUUCCUAAAUGCAGCAUAGCCUGUAGUAUGCAACAAUUUUGAGCAUUUAUGAGAUUCAGGCAAUUAAGAGUCUAAACUUUCAAAUGUUUCCAGAUGGCACACUGAUUAACAAUUGUGCGAAUUUAAUAUUUGUUUAAAUGCACUACUCUGUGAAACACUUCUUAAUAGUAGAUGAACGCGUUGGAAUGAAUCUAGGAACAACUUUUCUUCAAGCACAACUUGCCUCCUUGCCUGAAGAAGUGGAAAUCUUAUUAGCUGAUUAUAUAGACCAAAAGCAGAAGCAGAGAAGUGGUAAGAGAUGAAAAAGACAAAAUAGAAGCCAAGCUAUUUUUUCACUAAUGAACAUUUCUUCUUUCUCUUUAGACACAGGUCCCAUGGUAUUCAUGCAAGCCACUUACAACAUCAGUCUCCCUGCUCUUGCAAGUGAACCUACUUGUAAGGACAUUUCCUUGGGGCUAAUGGCUUUAUGAAUGUUGACAUCUGUUGCAUGCAGUAAAUUGAAGUGUUUUCCAACUUGUAGGAUGUGCUUCACUAGUGAGAUGAAGGAACUAAAAGUAUUUUCCAGCAAGACCACUUCUGGUGCAUCAGUUCCAAGUUCUUCUGGCAGGAAAGAUCUUCCUGUGGUCACACAGCAUCUGACAUCUUCCCCAUCAUGUGCCCCAUGUUACAAAGCCCACUGCAUUGAAGAUGAAACCACAGGGAUUAGUCCUGAUUGUACAAUGCCAUGUGAACACGAAGGAUGUUUAUAGUUUCAAAAAUAUUUCCUCUUUCUCCCGGGCUACAUUUUUCAGACCAAUCCUGACCUGUUUUGUAAAAGAAGAUAUAUUCAGUAAGACCACAGACCAUCCACAGAGCUUUUUGGUCUCCAACAAUCUCCAGUUAAUGACUGCCUGUUGGGAAAAAGCAUAAAAAGGAAAAUGUACACUGAUGUUCCCACAUUUUAGCUUUCCAGCUUCCUACAAUCUGUGGCUAUGCAGUUUCCUGACCUGGGGGUUAUUUCUUUGUCUAUCACUCUGUGGUGGAUUUUCCUUCCAUGUUUUUAUCUAAUUGCUUUUUGAACCCGUGAAAACUUAUGACACUCACAACAUCCCAUGGCAAUGAGUUUCAUAGUUUAAUUACGUGCUUCAUGAAAAAGUGUUUUCCUUUAAUCAUUUUGAACCCACCUUCAUUUGAUACCUCCAAGAUUUUGUAUUACAAGAAAUUGCUCUUUCUUCACUCUUUCCAUGUUUGUCAUGAUUUCAUUGGCAUCUGUCACAUCCUUGAAAAAUUACUUUCCUUGCUGAAGAGACUCAUUUUAG